CCUACGGGAGGCAGCAGUGAGGAAUAUUGGUCAAUGGACGAGAGUCUGAACCAGCCAAGUAGCGUGAAGGAUGACUGCCCUAGGGGUUGUAAACGUCUUUUAUAUGGGAAUAAAACGUUCCACGUGUGGGAUUUUGUAUGUACCAUAUGAAUAAGGAUCGGCUAACUCCGUGCCAGCAGCCGCGGUAAUACGGAGGAUACGAGCGUUAUCCGGAUUUAUUGGGUUUAAAGGGAGCGUAGGUGGAUUGUUAAGUCAGUUGUGAAAGUUUGCGGCUCAACCGUAAAAUUGCAGUUGAAACUGGCAGUCUUGAGUACAGUAGAGGUGGGCGGAAUUCGUGGUGUAGCGGUGAAAUGCUUAGAUAUCACGAAGAACUCCGAUUGCGAAGGCAGUUCACUGGACUGCAACUGACACUGAGGCUCGAAAGUGUGGGUAUCAAACAGGAUUAGAUACCCGUGUAGUC
rnacentral:rRNA from 1 species